AUUGAACGCUGGCGGCAUGCCUAACACAUGCAAGUCGAACGGGGCAGCAAUGCCUAGUGGCGGACGGGUGAGGAAUACGUAGGAAUCUGCCCUUAAGUGGGGGAUAACCAGGGGAAACCCUGACUAAUACCGCAUGAUCUCUUCGGAGCAAAGAGGGGGACCGCAAGGCCUCUCGCUUCUGGAUGAGCCUACGUCUGAUUAGCUAGUUGGUAGGGUAAAGGCCUACCAAGGCGACGAUCAGUAACUGGUCUGAGAGGAUGAUCAGUCACACCGGAACUGAGACACGGUCCGGACUCCUACGGGAGGCAGCAGUAAGGAAUAUUGGACAAUGGCGGGAACUCUGAUCCAGCCAUGCCGCGUGAAGGAUGAAGGCGCUCAGCGUUGUAAACUUCUUUUGAAUGGGAACAAUAACUUCUACGUGUAGGAGCUUGAGGGUACCAUUAGAAUAAGCACCGGCUAACUCUGUGCCAGCCGCCGCCGUAACAC
rnacentral:rRNA from 1 species